AGCUGGAGUUGCCCUACGACUG
rnacentral:miRNA from 1 species